rnacentral:rRNA from 1 species
UACGUAGGGGGCAAGCGUUGUCCGGAAUCAUUGGGCGUAAAGAGCGCGUAGGCGGCCCUGUAAGUCCGCUGUGAAAGUCAAGGGCUCAACCCUUGGAUGCCGGUGGAUACUGCAGGGCUAGAGUCCGGAAGAGGCGAGUGGAAUUCCUGGUGUAGCGGUGAAAUGCGCAGAUAUCAGGAGGAACACCGAUGGCGAAGGCAGCUCGCUGGAACGGUACUGACGCUGAGGCGCGAAAGCGUGGGGAGCAAACAGG